rnacentral:lncRNA from 1 species
ACAGCCAAGCUGGUCCACCCGGCCUUGAGGCCUUGGGCAGGUGGCACAGAGGCCGACUGCAGGCUGGAGAGCCAGCUCUAGGGAGGCAGAGCUAAGACACAGGUGUCUGACACCAGGCACCUCAGCUCCUGGAACCUGCGCUGCCCUGAUUAGCUAAGUACAAAGGCAGUUCGAAUUACUGCCUCUCCCCAGCCAAUCGCCUGCUGGCCUGGCUGACAGGAGCAGGCCCCCUGAUGUCAGGGACGUCCGCUCACUGGCUAGAACCAAGAGAGCCGGUUUCUACCGUGCCCGCUGGCAACCCUGCUCCAGGCACCUUAGAGCUGUUUGUCCGGUAAAGAACUCUCUCUCUCUGCCCGCCCACAGCGCCGCCCCAGGGUCCUCAAACACUCAAACGCGCUGUGCAAUGAAGGCAAGGCCAAGCUCUUUCUCGCCUUCUCUGCCUGGUUCUGGACGCCCAGAUCCCUGUGCAGCUGAUGGAACUCCAUUUUGUUAUUAGCUACGGCUUUUUGCAAGCGAGACUUUCUUACAGAAACUGGGAGACAAGGAGACACAAAUACAAAGAAAGAUCUUUUUACAGUCACCGUUCUGAACAAUGAAAUCCAAUAUUGGAGGGGGAAAAAAUCACCUCAGAUGUGAAAACAGAUAAAACUCCAGCGAAGUGGGCACCGCAUCCCACUGUGGGCAGGGCUGUCCUGGACACCCUAAAACCCAGCCAGCUGAAGCCAUUGUAUGCCCUUGAAAUGGCAAUCCUUUGCAGCUGUAUGGCUAGGCAGCGCUUGAUUCAAGUUUGGUAUUUGCCCCAGACUGUAGAGGUCAGCUUAACAGUAACCAUAGACACAAAGAAAGAGAGAACAGCGCACACAGAAAAAAAAAAAAAAAAAAAAAAAAAAAAACGGCACUCCGAGUGUGCCUGAGUUCGUGGGUAUGUAAAUGGCUUUUCGUUUGUCUGGAAUGCUAUGGUGUGUGUGUAUGUGUGUGCCUGUUAUGUGCACAUGCACAAGUUUCAGGAAGAGUCUUAGGAAGAGUCUAAUAGACUAAAGUAAUGGACUGAGCCACUGGGAGUCCUACCUUGAAAAGCAUUAAUGAAGUUCUCAAGAGGGUAGUUAUUAUAUACAUAUAUGUUUAUAUAUAUAUUAUAUUUAUAUUAAUAUAAAUUCAUAUUAAUAUAUCCCCGUAUAUGUUAUAUUGUUAAAAGAUAAUAUUGUACUAAUUUUCAUAAAUUUAUACUAAUAUAAAUUAAUUUUUAUGCCUGGCAUGGUGACACACACCUUUAAUCUCAGCACUCAGGAUGCCAAGUGGACUGGACUGUAUUUAGUUAUAGCAAUGGAAAGUUAUCAAGUACAGAUACCCUUCACAGUCACCAUAAACAACUUUGAUACAGACAAGCUUCUCACAUUGGAAUGUAUAGGAAUCUUCUUCAUUUAGCAGAGGAACUGGACACACAGGACUGCUUGCUUCCCUGCCCACCAACCAUAGCUCAGGUAAGACCUGCUCUCACAAGCUGGUCGUGGUGGCGCAUCUAGGUGAGUCUUUGACAGAAUAUGAUGUUUUUAUUUUUCCUUUUCCCUAAAAGCCAGUAGCCCCUGGACUGUGGCAUACCCUAUUUUCCGAGCACCUUUUCAAAAACAAACCCAAAGGCUGGAGGGUUUCAUGUUACCCUGCCGAAGAACUGCAGCCUGUGAUGGACGGCCUUGGCGACUGAAGGAUUUUCCUUAAUGAUUUGCACAUGUCCCUUGGGGUGCCCGUUUAUGAUUAGAGAUGAGGGUCCUUGGUGGGAAAGCUGCACGAAGAGCAAAAGCCUGGUUGCUUCACUCGCUUUCUCCUCUUUGGCUGAACUCAGCACGUUUACCUUUCUCUAGGACUUGGUGGCAGAUGGAGUUUGUAUGUAGGGUGCAUUUGGAUGCCUGUCAGCCUUUUUGACUGCAUGUUUACAACAUAUUCCCAAAGCUCAAAGACCUGUCUGUCAGUAGGUUUUUGAAAAUGAGAAGUUUGUCCUUAAUACUCUCUGGAGGAAUGUAAGGAAUUUUAUGAAUGGGGGAGACAGAAAAAGCCUCUUGGCAUCUGACCUGCUUUCCUUUUUCUAGAGCAUUCGCCAACUUCUGACAUGCUAUGCACAGUCCACAUGUAACUCUCUGCAUGUUGUAUGUACUGCCUGUUGCCUGUGCUCACAAGAACGUCAGCUUCUUGAGGACAAGCAUGCUUGGUUAUUGUGUUUGAGUCCUGGGUACAUACAGCAAUUGCUGGCUUAUAUUAGAUGCUUAUUCAGUAAAUUAGGCAUUAUUUAAAAAAAAAAAUCAGGCCGGGCAGUGGUGGCACACACCUUUAAUCCCAGCACUUGGGAGGCAGAGGCAGGCGGAUUUCUGAGUUCGAGGCUAUCCUGUUCUACAGAGUGAGUUCCAGGACAGCCAGGGCUACACAGAGAAACCCUGUCUCGAAAAACAAAAACAAAACAAAACAAAAACAAAACAAAAAAAAUCAGUAAAAGGUCCAGGAGAAAUGAUACUUUUCCCAUAUCACUUAUAGAAUUCACAAUGUGUGUAUGUGUUUUGUGUGUGUGUGUGCAUAGAUAUAUUCAUGUGGGUGUGUGGGUAUGAGUGUAUGUGGAAGCAAGAAGGCUAUGCCCAGCUGGGGAGUGGUAGUGGUGCUGCACACCUUUGAUCCCAGCACUCAGGAGGCAGAGGAAGGCAGAUCUCUGAGUUUGAGGCCAGCCUGGUUUUCAGAGUGAGUUCUAGGACAGCCAGGGCUACAUAGAGAAACCCUAUCUUGAAAAACAAAAACAAAAUCAACAACAAAAGUCUUUGCCUAGUACUCUUCCUUGGUUACUCUCUACCUCCCUCUUUUUUAAGAUCCUGUCUCUCACUGACCCCAGAUGAGUUCCCAAGGCCCUGCAUGUCUCUGUUCCCAAACCCAAUCACUGGCUAACAGAUGCAUAGGUUUUUCAUAAGUGCUUAGGAUCUAUCUUCAUGCUCCGGUGCCUGUCACCAAAUUACCAACUUAGCCACUCCCCCAGCUGCUGUGCUGUGUCUUUGGAAGACAGAAGCAUUGUCAAAUGGAUCACAUUAGUGAGAGUGACAAUGACCACGGGAAUGACAAUGUGCAGCUGAGAAAAGGCUUUGGUUCCAACCAUGGUGGCUUUCAGAAUUAGCUUAGUUGAACUUUGGGAGUGCUCACAUGCAGGCUCCCAACUGAAAGAAAACUGACCAUGGAGCUGGGAGAGAAGCCUGAUGAGCUCAUCAGGUCUCUUCCAGUCCAUUUUCUUUUACUAUCAUAGGAAACUGUAUUUGUUGGAGAACUCCAGAGUGUCUGAAGGAGUCAGAUUUUCCAGGAUGCUCUUGGCAAAUAAACCAAUGCUGCUUU